GAAUUAAUAUGUAUAAAUUGUUUAAAAGCGUAGCUUCACGAGAAUAAUGCGUUGCGACUCAAAACUGACCUGGAGGCUCGGAAGACUACCUCAUGUGGUACAUUACAUGUGAGAACUAUCCAGGAACGUAGGUACAUCAGGAUGCCAAGUUUGAGAAGGUUCAGAACCGUCAGACCUGGACUGAAGAACAUGCCCAUCCAAACCAUGCCCUGGUUGUACACCAGGUGAAGUAUGUUCUCGGCGAUUUUGAAGUCGCCGUAUUGCGGAAAUUGCUUCUCCAGGUCCCAGCACCAGCAGUUGUUCAUGUAACGUACGAAAACGGCGCGGAGGAAAUCCAUACAGAGAGUGGUUAAUGUGUCCAUGACGGUGAGUUUGGCUAGUUCCUGGCCGAACAUGGUUUCCCAGCACAAUCGACGUACUUUUCUGCGAAUCUUUGGAUCUAACUGCUCCAAGGAUGGGACUGGAACAUUGAGUAUAUAAACGUAAAAAACUAUACCGAGAAUACAUUGGAGAACAGUGAAAGAGUUACAGAUUUGAGGAAAAAAUGUUUACUCAAAUUCUUCUGCGACGUAACAUUGCAGGUUUUUACGAAGCAUUUCACUGGAUAAUUUUCUCUCGAGGACGGAUCAUUCGACCGCAAAGUAGGAAGACUAUUUUCCAAACUAAUAGUAUUUGUUUUAGGUGUGACUUCUACCGUCGCAGAUACGCUGAUUUUUUCAGUAGAUGACAUCUCGUCUGGAGACGACGAAGAAAUUGUUUUUUCGAUUUGUACCUUCCGCCGUGCUGGUUUCUGUCGAUGUCGGAGUUUUAGCCUGGGACAAAGUAGAAGUUGUAUAGAAAUCUUCAGCGAUCGUCGAAUCGGUGAGAAAAUUGGCAAUCGGAGUGAAAUUUUUGUAAUCAUACGUUCUACUAUCAUCCACGCUUCGAUUAUCUUGUCUCUCGUAAUAAGACUCGUUGCUAUUCGUCUGCGAAUCUUCAUACAGGUAAUCAAUAGUCGACAAAUCGAAGGUAUCGUUGGAAAGGUAAUCCUCGUAUAACUCGUUGCGGUCCAGAAAAGGAUUGAGGAACAACGUUUCCUGUCUGACGGAUGGUAGCGCUAAAAAAAAUGAAAAAUUGUUUACCGAAAAAAAUUUAAGACAUUUUUUAUGUCGUUAUACACAAGUAAGGAAUACAUAUAUUUAAGGAGUAUAUUUGUAAAUUAAUUUUUUAAAACAAGUUAAAAGCUAUAAUUAAAGAGCAAGUAACUAAGGAGACUUGAAUAUUUACAUAAAUAUAUUUUUUAAUUUAAGACUUGAAUAUAUUUCGAGAUUUACAAACCAAUAAGUUGCAGUAGCCAUAUGUGCGUUCAUCGAAAAUAUUUCUCGAUAAGUGAAACUUACUCGUUGAUUCGAUGAUCUCCCUCUUGGCGUGGAAAUGGGUGAUAUUGCUUAGAAAAACGAGACUCGCAGUCGCCAAUGUCGUGAUUUGUUGCGUGUGCGUUAAUUCGUCACCACACUCCACCAAAUUAUAUUUGCACGUCGUCUCCGUCGACUUGAGAUCAUAAAUAUCAUCAGGUUUCUACGAAGAAGAUAUAAUAAUAGACGAGCUUACGUGCGCCGAAAACUUCUUCUCUUCUAUCCAUAAAUACGAGAAUAUCUUUCUACGAACGAUAAUAUUAUUACACAUUGCAAAUUACGCACCAUGGAGUUCAUUUUACGAAACAGCGCGAAUAUCAGCGAGUAGAGAUUUAGCAAGUUCAAGACCAUUAUCCUGAAAAAUAAUCGACAGUGUAUCAUUCGUUUGUAUUUCUUUCUAGCCGAGUCAAGACGAUCCUUUUACCGCGCCAGUUGCAUUCGAAGCUGCUUCCUGGGGUGGUAGCUCUCGAGGAAGCCGAGGAUCUCGAAAAACAUCGGAAAUAGGGUCGUGAUCAGGGACAUGACGAUCGUGAUCUCGUUCUGCCGCAACCAGCUGUGCGAAUCGAUCUUUGUCGUGCUUCGUUCGACCACCUCGAUAACGGCGUAGGCCGAUAACGCGAGUAAAGAGAGCACCGCGACGUUCACGAAUAUUCUCCUGGAUAUGAUUUUCCAGCUACAAAAACUUCCUCCAGCAGGACCUCCUUGAAGCCUAACACGAUGCUAGCCGUACGAUUGUGAGCGGUCUCCGGAUUACCGAUCAUAAAGUCCCAUCCCGUGAAGAGCUUCCAUGAAAAGACGUACUCGUCCUCCUUCUCGGUCAGUUUGCUCAAACGUGAAUUUUUCGCCAUUCUGAAACGAGAAGAGAAGCGCGAAGGUCAAAGAGAGAGAUGUAGUCGGUACUUGCGGAGGAUCGCGACGAAGCUGUACGUGUAGACGACCAGAUUGGUGACGAAGUACGCCAUGGGUAGUCGAUACUUUGUGUUAGUGUCCUGAUUGGUAUACCAUCCGUAGAAGAAGGGAGAGUACUUUAAUACACCCUCGAAUUCCCACAAGGUCAACAGGUGCUUCGACUUGACACUCUCCUCCUUCAGCAUGAUCUUUCUUUCGCCGGCGAGCGUCGCGUUUGCGGUUAACACCUAAUAUAAUUGCAAAAGAAUGUAUCGCGACGAAUGCUGUAAGAGUUCCGGCGAUGACCAGGUUGAUCCAGAAGAGCCAGCGGAGGAAAGUGAAAUAAGACGCAACAGCAGAACCAAAAUGAGACUCUAUCUCCAUAAUACGGAGCUCCCAAGGCACGAACCACGUUUGCAGAUUGAUGAGCUCUCGUCGGAAAUGCUGCCAUUUCUGAAGAAGAAAUGAGCCGUAUCAAUCUAUCUUUCUCGGCACACUCUUACAUGAUGGAUCAGAAGAAGUUAUGUACCUUAGUCACGUAGAGCGAGACGCGCGCUAUGACGUCUUUCGUGUUGCGACUUUGGGCGAGUCUCUCCUGCAGGGCACCCUCGUGCCGCCUAACAUAAGCCUUAGCCUGUCGUACGAGUUUGAUCUUGCGCCGGAGGGGCCAGGGUUGCUGCUUCACGCCACUCAAUACUUCUUUAUGCAGCUUCAGAUUUUCGAAGAUCUGCUCCUGGUUACCGCCCUCCUCCAUCGAGAUUACCGUCCUAAUUUUUAAUCAAAUAAAAACGUCAUGUCCCUUUAGUUUUCUAUACAACAUCUAUCGCAGUUUUCUCUUUCAUUGCAAUAAUAGAGCAGAAGACUGCGAAGGUCUUUUUGCGAAUUAGACGUUGAGAGUUAGAGUGAAUAGACUUCGCGAAGCUAUAUUUUUAAUUCAAUUUCUUCUUUUAAUUUAAUUAAAAAAAUAAAAUAAAGUCGCGCUUUGAAAAGAAUUAGGAAUUGAAGAUUCACUCUGACUCUUCGAAGAAAUCGGUAUUAUUUACUGACUCUCCCGAGCUCGUGGUGUAAGCCGAGGAUCGACGACGCACGAUGUUGUCGACGUCGACGCCAAAGGGAGAGGACGGACGUCUCUUCCUCCGGCUCUGCCGUCGUAUCGAAUUCCGUCGUUGCAUGAUCGCGCAGACCGAGGCUGAGUAAUCGUUCUCGCUGUCAUUUCCCUCGCCGUUUACGGUCGACUUCUCCGUCGACGGAUUCUGCGGAGUCUCGCCUGCAGGAUUCGCCCGCGUGGAUAUCGCUUUUCGCAGACAAUCGAUAACGUUAUUUACAUCUAGCGAAUAAGCCUAUACAGCGAAAAAAAUUGAAUAAAAUUUUAAUCGCAUAUAUUUCUAUGA